GCAGAGCCCAGCAAAUAACUUUAAAUCCAAACAAAAAUAAAAGUAAAAAAUUUAUUAGCUAACGUUUCGUUGUUUACAAUACAACAUCUAGAUUAAUUGCUCUGAAGAUGUUGUAUUGUAAACAACGAAACGUUAGCUAAUAUUUUUUUUUACCUUUAUUAUGUUUGGAUUUAAAGUUAUUUGCUGGGCUC